UACGUAGGGUGCAAGCGUUGUCCGGAAUUAUUGGGCGUAAAGAGCUCGUAGGCGGUUUGUCGCGUCGGAUGUGAAAACCCGGGGCUCAACCCCGGGCCUGCAUUCGAUACGGGCAGACUAGAGUUCGGUAGGGGAGUCUGGAAUUCCUGGUGUAGCGGUGAAAUGCGCAGAUAUCAGGAGGAACACCGGUGGCGAAGGCGGGUCUCUGGGCAACAACUGACGCUGAGGAGCGAAAGCGUGGGGAGCGAACAGG
rnacentral:rRNA from 1 species